CACUCGCACUUUCCCCCCACGUGUGUUCAGAUCAAACCCUUGCCCCACAGAGCAAGUGACCGCACCGGGGCACAGUGACAAAGGCGGAGUUUGUAUCAGAAGAAGACUGAGGCCCGGGGAGACACGGCGGCUAGAGAAACAGCUGUCUUAUCAGCCCGCUGCAGAGAUGGAGAUGGCUCGAGAGGUCCUCAACAGAUAAUCACUUGAAUAGGGAGAUGAGUCAAUAAAUACAAGUAAAGGAAUCUCAAACACAUUUCUUUUCAAUUCUUUAUGCAAAAAUCCUUCAUAUCUUCUAACCCAGAAAACAGUUCCCUUCUGGGCUAGCAUUGCCGUGGACUGAUGGAGAUGCAGCUACGGAUGUGGACUUCCAGUGAAUAAGUAGAAUGGAAGGAAACAAAACUUUGCAGCCUGAUCAAAGAAUGAAUCUUAAACUUUUUGAGGUCUAAGUUCAUAGAUUACAAUGAAAAAAAAAAAAGCAGGUGGUAUUUUCAUUUUAAACUUCAAUGAGCAUCUCUGUGUGUCCUAAAUGCACUUUAUAAUUUGAUAAGAUUGAAUCACACAAAGUCCAGUCCAGUCAUAAGACUGCCAGGCUUCGAUGAGGAAGUGUAAUUAGCACAGAGAAGAAACACACAGAACAGCCAGAGCUGCUCUUUAUGGCCAUCACACCACCCCCUUUUAAUCCUUCAUGUUGAUGUGGCUAAAUGGGAAAUCUAUUUCUCCGACUGAGCAUAUGUAUGUGCAUUUUAAGGGAAUACUGAGAAUACUAUUGUAAUAAAAAUGAUGUUCUCUUCCUUUGGUCACUGUCAUUCUGGUAUAAGAAAUUAGAGAAUAUGGUUGUUUGAAAUGUCAGUUUUUGUCAACAUGUAUUGGAGGAUGUAAUGUAGAUGAACGGUGUUACAGACUGUUUAAGCUGUUUGAGUAACAAAUAGACAUUUCCUUGAAUUAUUUUGACACAAUUUACUGUGAAAUUUCUUUUUCUUUCUUUUGCUGAUGUUUCUAGAUUCCUUGUGCAAGACAAUAAAAAGA